rnacentral:tRNA from 1 species
GCCGGAGUGGCGGAAUGGCAGACGCGACGGAUUCAAAAUCCGUUGCCCGCAAGGGCGUGAGGGUUCAAGUCCCUCCUCCGGCA